GGCGGGAGGCUGGCACUAGCCCGGGCCACGAUAGGUCGGACUACAGCUGGUAGCAACUGGGGGUCGGAAGUGGAGCCCAGACAACAGCGGAGGAGAAAUUUCCGGGGCAGAAAAUGAAGGUGUCCGAGAGACUGACAAUUCUCUUCUGACUUCCUCAGUGCUAACUGGCUUUGGGUAUCUCCUGCAGCAAAGUGGCCGCCCCGCCCUCUCAUCCCCUGCGACCCAGCACCCUUCUUCCUUGCCUUGAGGCUGCGCCUUAGACAGCCCGGUGGGUAUCUGUUUACCCCUUAGCACUAAGGGAUAAGUGCACAGUAAGUGCAGAAUCAUACAGUGUUUCCAAAUCCUCAGGGUAGACGUGUGAGCUUAGUAAAUGAGAGGAAUAGCGGACGAACCUCUCCGUGUGUUUGUGUCUCGAGUGCCCUCAUCUCAGGAGCAAUUUUAAUAACUUAACAGUUGCGGUCACAUUACUUUGAAAAUACAAAAAACGUAGAAAUCAGAGUAGCAAAGAAAAUUAUGGAUCUGAUGCUGUGCCAGAAUUGAUCACAGUUGCUCUAAAGCCCUGGGGUAAUAGUUAAUAUUUCAUGUGAGCCUCCACUUAAACGAUUUAUCAAUACUCAGUACACCACUCUUGGAACAGCUAGUAAAACUUCAGGUGCAUUAUAAAAAGUACAGUAAUGCAUUGGCUUCAACUUGCAUAUUUCCCAAACAUGGGCGUUUGCAAGAAAAGCAAACACUUUUUGAUAACAUAUACUGAAGGAUCUUAAAAUAAGAUCAGCAGCUUAUAAGUGAACCUAAAAAUCUAUACACUGUUUCCAUUGAUCUCAAGGUUAUUUAGAGAUCUGCUCACGUCCUCCUACCCCUAAAGACUUUUUAGUUUUUCAUAUUCUCUUUCUCUUCUUCUACCUAGAAGUAUUAAAUUUUCAUAUUGUGAUCCACCAUAGAUAGGUAUGUUUUCUUCAUUUAACCUAACGUGAGUAUUUUUCUAUUUUGUUUCAUAGUCAUUGUUACAAAUGACGGAGUAUUCUGUUGAAUAAAUGCACUGUAAUUUAACCUUUCUCUAAUUUCCCCAACUUUAUUAUAUAUAAGUUACAGUGCUCAACCUGUGUAUUGUUUUUCUUAUUUCGAAUUUCCCCCUUUAGGAAAAUUUUUGGAAAGCGACAGUUCUGGGGUAAAGGGCAUAAGGCUUUUUAAAUAACUUUAAGAUUUUAAAGAUAUAUAGAGCCAAUUGCUUUCCGAAAGGUGGUACCAAUUUACAAUUGCACCGGCUGUGAAUGUAAUAGACCGUAGAAAUUGAUCAUACACAAUUGGAAAUGAGUAAGUGGAGAGCUCUAAAAAGUUUUAGUUGUGACCAAAUCUGUUGUCUUGAGUAUCCUAGUAUCAAUGCAACAUUACCAGGAUUGUUAGUGAACUAAACCUUUUAAAUAAUUUUAAUGUUUAUUUCUAGUUUUUCAUCUGUAGCAUUUUACAAUCAGAAUAUAAUUGCUUAUGGUAGAUAAUUUGGAAAACGCAGAAGUAUACUAAGAACAAAGUCAACAAUAAUUCCACCACCCAGCAAUAAGUACUGAAUGGCUAAAAUAACUCUUUGGUAAAUUUAUUUUCAGUGUUUCCUGACACCCCAAGCAUUUAUAGAUAUAUAUGUUUAAAAAGAGUCGUGUUAUAUAUAGGAGUUUAUGUUCCUCCCUUGGGUAUUUUGAGAAACUAUAAAAUUAAAUCAUUCUUAUGAUUAAGAAAAACAGUGUUACAGCAACAGCCUGUUUCAAUCCCACCUCCACUUACAUUUCCAUUCCAACACUUCAGUGCUGACUAACACCCACUGUUUGAAAAACUUUCUAGAAUUUACAUGUAUAUUUUAUAUACACUUUGAAUAUAUCUUCCCUUCCUUCUUUACCCCCAUACAUAUCAAAAUAUGCUUUAACUUUGACUAUCUUGUUAUUAACAAAAGACUUAAAUAAAUAUGUUAACUUAAAACAAUUGUCAAUUAUUCUUGGUGCAAAAUGAAUGUUUAUCAUACUACUCUCUUUUUCUGCAUUUAAAAAUAUUUCUUAAAACAAUUCAGUUAAGUUUAAUUAAGCUCCAUUAUCUUGGGCUGGGUGCUGUGGCUUACGGCUGUAAUCCCAGUACUUUAGGAGGCCAAAGUAGGUGAAUCACCUGAGGUCAGAAGUUUGAGACCAGCUUGACCAACAUGACGAAACCCUGUCUCUACUAAAAAUACAAAAAAAUUAGCUGCGUAUGGUGGCGCAUGCCCGUAACCCCAGCUACUCGGGAGGCUGAGGCAGGAGAAUCACUUGAACCGGGGAGGCAGAGGUUGCAAUGAGCUGAGAUCAUGCCAUUGCAUUCCAGCCUGGGUAACAAGAGCGAAACUCUAUCUCAAAAAAAAAUUAAUUAAUAAUAUAAAUAAAUAAUAAUUAAGUUCCAUUAUCUUAAAAACGAUUAUAGAUAUGUAUGUAUCCAUGUACGUGUAUAAAAUAAUAUUUGAAAAGACCAUUAAUCUCUUAUAAUAACGGAUAUGUAUAAAGACAAGGAUGAGUUUAAAGGAGUAAAGUUAAUAUUUUACUUUAUACUCUUAGAUAUGUUUUGAAAAUGUAAAUACAUACUCAUUUUUGAUAUAGUUAACAUUAUGAAGAGGACAAAAAACCAACUUAACAAUGACUAUUUUUAUUUGUUCUACUUUAUUCGAAAGAUGAAAAUUUCAUCCAUUAUGAUUGUGUGUUGAGCAGUUUGUGGUUUCUGUAUUUUGAACAUAUAUUAUUCAUCCUAUAAAGGUGCAUGUCUUUCGUAUUUACAUAGUUUAUGUUUUUAAUAUAAAAUGACCUUCUUUGUAUCAUUUUGUAUUUUUGUCUUGAAACCUACUUUGAUAUUAAUGCUUCAACUUUUGCUAUGUUUCUCUUUGUUUUUGCCUAAUAAACCUCACCCUAUCCAUUUAUAUUUAACCUGUGUCAUCUUGUUUUGGGCAUAUCUGCUGUAAGCAGCAGAUAGAUUGCAUCUUGUUUUUCUUUUUUUAACUCAAAUCCGAGAAUCUUUUUAUUUUGCAGAGAAGCUUAACCUUUUUAUUUCUGAUUAAUGCUUGAAAGUUCAGGUGCCAAAGUGGCCCAGAACUUAUUAAUGGUUUUAUAAGUCAAUUAACGUCAAUAAGCCUGAGUUUUCUUAUCUGUAAAACAUUGAUAACAGAGUGCUGUGAAGAUUAAGUUAAACAAUGCAUGUAAAACAUAUAGUCUAGUGUAAGCACUGAAUGAUAAUUUCACAAAAGUUUAGCAAUGAAAAUGGUCAACUUAGAUGUUUAGUCCUAUUUGGUUAUUUCACUUUUGUUUUCCCUUUUAUAUGCAGUUGUGUCUGCUUCCUUGCUUUUAUUUUAUUCUAUUUUCUAAAUAAAGUAUGUGCUUGCUUUU
rnacentral:lncRNA from 1 species